AGUAAAAUGUUCCAGGGAUUGAUGUUAGCACAUUUUAAGUUAUUCUUAACAUUUAAACAUUUCUAUAAGCUUGGAGGAAAAAGAUGUGUUUUUAUUUGCUUAUAUAUGGCAUGAAUAAAUACAGGUUUACAGAGCCUAGUGUGCAAAUUUAUCAUCUUCUGUGACAGGGAUCAAUCAUGAAUGUAAAUCAUGCAUCAAAGUGGUGAAAUGGGCAACAAAUGCAAUUAAAACAUAAGGUAUUGAAAAGUUUAACUGCUCGGGGGGAGGGGGAAACCAUUUGGUCUAGGGUCAGUGUCACGGAGUGUGGGGGAGUCCAGGCCUGCACCCCUCUUCCUGGGACUCACAGUGACUCUCAGCCAGCCAGUAAAACAGAAGGUUUAUUGGACAACAGGAAUGCAGGUUACAGCAGGGCUUGCAGGCACAGUCAGGACCCCUCCACCGAUCCUUCUGGGGGGGGGCGUAGGGAGACUUGGGGUUCCCUGCGUUCCAGCACCAAAACUGAAAAACCAAAAACUCCUCCUCUCCUUUGUCCAGUCUCCCGGGUAGGUGGUGUCACUUCUCCCAACCCCCCUCCCGGCUCAGGCUACAGCUCAGGUAGCUUCCUUCAAGGGAAGUCCCCCCAUCCCCAAUGUCUCUCCCCUGCGACAUUCCCAGGUCAAAUCCGCCUGCUCCCUGCUCCGUCACACCUGGCGCCCCCCAGCCCCGCAGGGCACUCACCACACCGAACCAGCGAGUGACGUGAUCCACCA